rnacentral:rRNA from 1 species
AUUGAACGCUGGCGGAAUGCUCUACACAUGCAAGUCGAACGGCAGCACGGACUUCGGUCUGGUGGCGAGUGGCGAACGGGUGAGUAAUGUAUCGGAACGUGCCCAGUCGUGGGGGAUAACGUAGUGAAAAUUACGCUAAUACCGCAUACGAUCUAUGGAUGAAAGCGGGGGAUCGCAAGACCUCGCGCGAUUGGAGCGGCCGAUAUCAGAUUAGGUAGUUGGUGGGGUAAAGGCCCACCAAGCCAACGAUCUGCAGCUGGACUGAGAGGACGACCAGCCACACUGGAACUGAGACACGGUCCAGACUCCUACGGGAGGCAGCAGUGGGGAAUUUUGGACAAUGGGCGAAAGCCUGAUCCAGCCAUUCCGCGUGCAGGAUGAAGGCCCUCGGGUUGUAAACUGCUUUUGUACAGAACGAAAAGGUUUCUACUAAUACUAGGAGCUCAUGACGGUACUGUAAGAAUAAGCACCGGCUAACUACGUGCCAGCCGCCGCCGUAA